rnacentral:rRNA from 1 species
UACAGAGGUCUCAAGCGUUGUUCGGAUUCAUUGGGCGUAAAGGGUGUGUAGGUGGCGCCGUAAGUCGGGUGUGAAAUUUCGGAGCUUAACUCCGAAACUGCAUUCGAUACUGCGGUGCUUGAGGACUGGAGAGGAGACUGGAAUUCAUGGUGUAGCAGUGAAAUGCGUAGAGAUCAUGAGGAAGACCAGUGGCGAAGGCGGGUCUCUGGACAGCUCCUGACGCUGAGGCGCGAAGGCUAGGGGAGCAAACGGG